UACGUAGGGUGCGAGCGUUAAUCGGAAUUACUGGGCGUAAAGCGUGCGCAGGCGGUUAUGUAAGACAGAUGUGAAAUCCCCGGGCUCAACCCGGGAACUGCAUUUGUGACUGCAUAGCUAGAGUACGGUAGAGGGGGAUGGAAUUCCGCGUGUAGCAGUGAAAUGCGUAGAUAUGCGGAGGAACACCGAUGGCGAAGGCAAUCCCCUGGACCUGUACUGACGCUCAUGCACGAAAGCGUGGGGAGCAAACAGG
rnacentral:rRNA from 1 species